rnacentral:rRNA from 1 species
CUUGGUUUGAACUAGUAGCUUUCGUUUAAACCCAUUCCUAAUUACUGAUUAUACUGUGGGGACGAAAGUCUCUGCUUUUAACUAGAUAGCAACUUUCAGCAGUGGAUGUCUAGGCUCGCACAUCGAUGAAGAACGCUGCGAACUGCGAUACGUAAUGCGAAUUGCAGGAUUCAGUGAGUCAUCGAAAUUUUGAACGCAUAUUGCACCUCCGGGUUAUUCCUGGAGGUAUGCCUGUAUCAGUGUCCGUACAUCAAACUUGGUUUUCUUCUUUCCGUGUAGUCGGGGGAGGAUAUGCCAGAUGUGAAGUGUCUUACGGCUGAUUUUCGGAUCGGCUGUGAGUCCUUUGAAAUGUACAGAACUGACUCUCCUUGUUCGAAAAGCGUGGCAUUGCUGGUUGUAAAGGCUGUUCAUGUGACCAGUCGGCGAUCGGUUUGUCUGCUGUGGCGUUAAUGGAGGAGUGUUCGAUUCGCGGUAUGGUUGGCUUCGGCUGAACAGACGCUUAUUGGUCAUUCUUCUUGCUGUGGCGGUAUAACUGAUGAACCGUAGUCGUGUGUGACUUACCUUUUGAAUCGGCGUUGCUGUGCGAAGUAGAGUGACAGUUUCGGCUGUCGAGGGUCGACCCAUUUGGGAAAUUGUGCGGUGCGGCUUCGGUCGCGCGGCAUCUCAAUUGGACCUGAUAUCAGGCAAGAUUACCCGCUGAACUUAAGCAUAUCAAUAAGCGGAGGA